GAACGCGAAGAACCUUACCCGGGCUUGAACCAAGAGUGACGAGUGCAGAGAUGCACUUUUCUUCGGACACUUUUGGAGGUGCUGCAUGGUUGUCGUCAGCUCGUGCCGUGAGGUGUCGGCUUAAGUGCCAUAACGAGCGCAACCCUUUUCUACGUUUGCCAUCGGGUAAUGCCGGGAACUCCGUGGAUACUGCCGCCGCAAGGCGGAGGAAGGUGGGGAUGACGUCAAAUCAGCACGGCCCUUACGUCCGGGGCUACACACGUGUUACAAUGGUCGGAGCAGCAGGAAGCUACCUGGCGACAGGAUGCUGAUCCCGAAACCCGGCCUCAGUUCGGACUGGAGUCUGCAACCCGACUCCACGAAGCCGGAUUCGCUAGUAAUCGCGCAUCAGCCAUGGCGUGGUGAAUACGUUCCCGGGUCUUGUACACACC
rnacentral:rRNA from 1 species